rnacentral:rRNA from 1 species
GGUUCAUUCAAAUUUCUGCCCUAUCAACUUUCGACGGCUGGGUCUUGGCAGCCGUGGUGACAACGGGUAACGGAGGAUUAGAGUUCGAUCCCGGAGAAGGAGCCUGAGAAACGGCUACUACAUCCAAGGAAGGCAGCAGGCGCGCAAAUUACCCAAUCCCGACCGGGGGAGGUAGUGACAAUAAAUACUGAUACAGGGCUCUUUUGGGUCUUGUAAUUGGAAUGAGUACAAUUUAAAUCCCUUAACGAGGAACAAUUGGAGGGCAAGUCUGGUGCCAGCAGCCGCGGUAAUUCCAGCUCCAAUAGCGUAUAUUAAAGUUGUGAGGUUAAAAAGCUCGUAGUUG